UAAUAAAGGUCAAUAACUUGCGGUAAAAAAUUGUAAAUGAAAUAAAAAAAACAAAGCUUGACUAAAAAGUAUCAGAUUAUAUCGUGGUUUACCACUUUGAUAUAAAAGAAAUAGCAAUGUUUACAUACUUACUACGAAUAAGUGACUUUUUAAGCACCGGUAUAAAUAUAAAAUAUAAAAUUACAAAUAAAACAUUAAGGCCAGUAUCCAACGAUCAACGCGACAUAAAAAAUUACAGCAGGCAGGCAGCAGACAGUACACAACUUGGAUGCCCAACUGUAAUGUAAUGUUAUAUUACUCUGUAGCUCUCCGCACACCUAAUCAGUACACGAUCCACAUAAAAGGACAUUAUUCUCGGUGAUAGUAAGAGACGUAUACUCACAACACGAUUAUUGUAACGUUUAAUUAUGAAAGUGUCACCAUUAAAACUUCUUGCAAUCGAUAAAGAGAUCAGUGGGAUAUUUAGAGUGAAGAAAAAAUAUUAAUAACAGACAUAAGAAAAUAAUCUUCUACAUAAACAUAAAGAGAAA